rnacentral:snoRNA from 10 species
CUUUAUGAUGAACCCCUGAUAGGGACAUCUUAUGCCAAACGCAAAUGAUGUGAAUUUGGGCUCGGUAUUUUAGUAGAUGCUUCGAGUUUCUGAUC